CCUUUCCCCUAUAUUAUAGCUUUUUGUUUUGAAAAUGAUAAAGUUUUGAAUGCGUUUUUCUCACAUUUACAUUUACAUCGUAGAUAAAAGUUGGUUGCAACACAUGGCAUUUGUUAUCCCACUAAUUUGCUGCUUUAGAGGCACGGCAUUUAGUGCCACAUUGUAGGUUUAAAUUGGUUGUAGAAUUUAUAUUGUAAUUUGCAUAUUUAUUUAGUUGAGUUUAAUCUAAGUUUAUAUUUGAUGUAUUUGUAUUAUUUUAGAAUUUACUGUUUUAGACACGUGACAUGUGGUAUUCCACUGUAAGUUUGAAUUAGUAAAUUUAAAAAAAAUUAUAUUUUAACUUGCAUUUCUUUUGACGUUCAUGUUUAUAUAAUUAGAUUACAACUAAGUUUGUGUAUGGCUUGUUUAUAUUAUUUCAGAAUUUGCUAUUUUAGACACUUGGUAUAAGCUGUCAUACUGUAAGUUUAAAUUGGUUGUAAAAUUUAUAUUGUAACUUGCAUUUCUAUUAGCGUGCAUAUUUAUUUAGUUGAGUUUCAACUCACGGUAGUUUAAAUAUUAGGAAAAGGCGCUAUGUUUAGCUACGCAUGCGUCAAUAUCUUGAAAAAUUUUUUAGAACUUUAAAAAUGGCUGCGGUCCUUAACUACAGCGAACACUUUAAUUGUCAUUCGUUUUGUUUUAGGUUUAUUGAUCGAAUCUAACAAUUUGUAUCUUAUAAUUGAAGUAGCUAAGUAGAUAAAUAACUUAGUUUCUUAAUUGAAAAAUUUAAAUAAGAUGAAAAAGAUCUUUGAGUGUGUUAAACCUUCAAUUUCUGUGAAAGUUAUUUUAGUAUAAAUCAGUAAUUUGUUUAUUUUUUUAAAAAUUGAUUAUCUUAAUUUCUAACCGUAGAAAUUAAAAGAUUUUUUUUUUAAACUUGUAAGCGAUAAGAUUGAAAUUUGUAUCCUCUAUUCAUGGUAGCCUUUUGGUUGUUGCUUCAACUUUUUUUCGGUAUAAAAACAUAAUUUUGCUCGUAUUACUAUAAG